rnacentral:rRNA from 1 species
GGGCCCGCACAAGCGGUGGAGUAUGUGGUUUAAUUCGAUGCAACGCGAAGAACCUUACCAGGGUUUGACAUCCUGCGAAUCUCUUGGAAACAGGAGAGUGCCUUCGGGAACGCAGUGACAGGUGGUGCAUGGCUGUCGUCAGCUCGUGUCGUGAGAUGUUGGGUUAAGUCCCGCAACGAGCGCAACCCACGUCUUUAGUUGCCAGCAUUUAGUUGGGCACUCUAGAGAGACUGCCGGUGACAAACCGGAGGAAGGUGAGGAUGACGUCAAGUCAGCAUGCCCCUUACGCCCUGGGCUACACACGUACUACAAUGGUUGGGACAAAGGGCAGCGACUCCGCGAGGACAAGCAAAUCCCAUAAACCGUGGCUCAGUUCAGAUCGUAGGCUGCAACUCGCCUACGUGAAGGCGGAAUCGCUAGUAAUCG